rnacentral:rRNA from 1 species
AUUGAACGCUGGCGGCAGGCCUAACACAUGCAAGUCGAACGGUAGCACAGAGAGCUUGCUCUCGGGUGACGAGUGGCGGACGGGUGAGUAACGUCUGGGAAACUGCCCGAUGGAGGGGGAUAACUACUGGAAACGGUAGCUAAUACCGCAUAACGUCGCAAGACCAAAGUGGGGGACCUUCGGGCCUCACACCAUCGGAUGUGCCCAGAUGGGAUUAGCUAGUAGGUGGGGUAAUGGCUCACCUAGGCGAUGAUCCCUAGCUGGUCUGAGAGGAGGACCAGCCACACUGGAACUGAGACACGGUCCAGACUCCUACGGGAGGCAGCAGUGGGGAAUAUUGCACAAUGGGCGCGAGCCUGAUGCAGCCAUGCCGCGUGUAUGAAGAAGGCCUUCGGGUUGUAAAGUACUUUCAGCGGGGAGGAAGGCGGUGAAGUUAAUAGCUUCACCGAUUGACGUUACCCGCAGAAGAAGCACCGGCUAACUCCGUGCCAGCAGCCGCCGUAA